CGACCCGACGAAGAAGUCCCUAGCGAACCGACGGGCGACAGAGGCUGGCGAGUGGAGGCGAAGGACUACGACCGUCGCGGCCGACCGAAGCCAUCCGACCGAAGCCAUGGGAACCGGUGACGUAGCUUCUUCGGGGGAACGAUUCUCUCCUGAGGUUCCUAGCUUCGUGCAACUUGCUAUAUAGAUUAGGUCACGCCUGGCACAUCCAGACUGUAUCGAGUCGAUGCGAUACUUGAGCUGGAUUUUGAAUUCGAUUCGUUUGGUGCUGGAGUUGCGCGGGAACUUGAAGAAUGCGUCGUUGAAUUUGUUCGAGAGACGUUGAAUGAGUGUUUUCUUCGCAAGUUUAGUCUGUGGAUGCUUGGUAGUGAAUUUAAUGGUAAGCGACAUUGCAUGCUGCAAAAUCAGGGACAAUCCCUAGAAGGCGAAACUUGCUUUGGACAGCCUUGAAGUUCCAGCUGGGGGUAUAUAUGAAAAUAUUGUUAGAAAAGUUGGAGGUGGCCAAUCCAAUAAGAAGCCUCUUUUUCCAUGCAACAAGACAUGCAGAGAUGGAAGCUCUUGAUAUUGUUCUUGAAUAGUGGCAAAGGACUGGAUUAUUGGCUGCAGAAGUUGCAGAGAAGUUUUCAGUAUGCUCUCUAUAUGGGACAUGUGAACCGUGCACAAUGAAAAUAAAUGGAGUAAUGGGAAUUCUGCAUCAAAGGGUUUCAAAUGUUGUGGAGGUAUAAUGGCAUCAGAAGCAAUUUCUCUUCUGCGAGAUUUUUAUGAACAAGGAAACUCUAAUGAUAAAUAAAGCUGGCCCAGUGGAAUGUCAUGUAAUGACAAAGGGUUAAUGAAAUUGCAUGCAUCCAUCAAGUAUAAGGUGUUUAUUUUGAGAUGCUCCAAAGCCUCAGGUCACUAUGGGUAAAUCAUGCUUCUCAUUGGAUAUGCUUGCAUUGAUUCAUCCUGUUGAACACUUUCAUGCCUUUGCACAAUUAGAAUUUCAUCAAGGAAUCCGAGGAAGGAAGUGUGAUGCAUGUCCAGAUCAGAUUUUUGCCCAGAUGUUCAUGUGUUUACAGAGGGUUGCAGAUGUGAUCACAAGCGAUUUCAUGCUUGAACUUGAUUGUCAGAUUGUUUAGAUAAUUUUACGGCAUAAACCUGUGUAGGCAUCAGUUUUCUGAGGUUAAUUUUUGUCAUCUAUAUAUUCUGUGAUGGAGUUUGAUUUGAGUUUUUCUAACUUUGAGAUAAUUCUAGGCGUGCUAUUGAUAAUUCUGAGAUUUAUAGUUCUAGACUAUGUCCUAUGUGAUCCCUAACAUGAUAGAAGAGGCAAAGGACAUGCAUGUGUUUUCGCAUGGAUUUCACUGGAUUCAAGUUUCCUAGUUAUACCAAUUAUGUCCUAAAUACUUGAAUUU